AGCAGCUGCGGUAAUUCCAGCUCCAAUAGCGUAUAUUAAAGUUGUUGCAGUUAAAAAGCUCGUAGUUGAAUUUCGGGGUCAGUAGGUUGGUCGUGCCACUGGUAUGUACUGGUCUCACUGAUUCCUCCCUCUUGUAGAACCGUAAUGCCAUUAAGUUGGUGUUGCGGGGAAACAGGGCUGUUACUUUGAAAAAAUUAGAGUGUUUAAAGCAGGCUAACGCUUGAAUACAUUAGCAUGGAAUAAUGAAAUAGGACGUUCGACCCUAUUUUGUUGGUUUCUAGGAUUGACGUAAUGAUUAAUAGGGAUAGUUGGGGGCGUUAGUAUUCAAUUGUCAGAGGUGAAAUUCUUGGAUUUAUUGAAGACUAACUACUGCGAAAGCAUUUGCCAAGGAUGUUUUCAUUAAUCAAGAACGAAAGUUAGGGGAUCGAAGACGAUCAGAUACCGUCGUAGUCUUAACCAUAAACUAUGCCGACUAGGGAUCGGAUGAUGUUAAUUUUAUAAUGACUCAUUCGGCGCCUUACG
rnacentral:rRNA from 1 species